rnacentral:rRNA from 1 species
CUUUCCCUCUGGCGGCAGGCCUAACACAUGCAAGUCGAACGGUAACAGGAAGAAGCUUGCUUCUUUGCUGACGAGUGGCGGACGGGUGAGUAAUGUCUGGGAAACUGCCUGAUGGAGGGGGAUAACUACUGGAAACGGUAGCUAAUACCGCAUAACGUCGCAAGACCAAAAAGGGGGACCUUCGGGCCUCUUGCCAUCGGAUGUGCCCAGAUGGGAUUAGCUAGUAGGUGGGGUAACGGCUCACCUAGGCGACGAUCCCUAGCUGGUCUGAGAGGAUGACCAGCCACACUGGAACUGAGACACGGUCCAGACUCCUACGGGAGGCAGCAGUGGGGAAUAUUGCACAAUGGGCGCAAGCCUGAUGCAGCCAUGCCGCGUGUAUGAAGAAGGCCUUCGGGUUGUAAAGUACUUUCAGCGGGGAGGAAGGGAGUAAAGUUAAUACCUUUGCUCAUUGACGUUACCCGCAGAAGAAGCACCGGCUAACUCCGUG